rnacentral:rRNA from 1 species
GGCGGCAGGCUUAACACAUGCAAGUCGAGCGCCUGUAGCAAUACAGGAGCGGCAGACGGGAGAGUAACACGUGGGAACAUGCCCUUCGGUUCGGAAUAACUCAGGGAAACUUGAGCUAAUACCGGAUACGUCCGUAAGGAGAAAGAUUUAUCGCCGAAGGAUUGGCCCGCGUCCGAUUAGCUAGUUGGUGAGGUAAUGGCUCACCAAGGCGACGAUCGGUAGCUGGUCUGAGAGGAUGAUCAGCCUCAUUGGGACUGAGACACGGCCCAAACUCCUACGGGAGGCAGCAGUGGGGAAUAUUGGACAAUGGGCGCAAGCCUGAUCCAGCCAUGCCGCGUGGGUGAUGAAGGCCUUAGGGUUGUAAAGCCCUUUCGGCGGGGAAGAUAAUGACGGUACCCGCAGAAGAAGCCCCGGCUAACUUCGUGCCAGCAGCCGCGGUAAUACGAANGGGGCUAGCGUUGCUCGGAAUCACUGGGCGUUAAGCGCACGUUAGGCGGACUCUUAA